GCCCGGGUAGCUUAGUUGGAAGAGCGUGGGACUUUUACUCUCACUUGUUUAUCAGCCUGGAUUUAUAUAUUUGUUGUGUAUAGCAGGGCUAUCCCAAGGUCGCGGGUUCGAGCCCCGCCUCGGGCG